UCCCUGGAGGACUAGUGGUUAAGCCACAGCACUCUCACUGCCAUGGCCUGGGCCCGGGUCCGAUUCCUGGCAAGGGGA